ensembl:lncRNA
GUUUUAAAACCUAACCGCCCACUACUUGCUUAUGAGGAACACAUUCUGUCCUGGUCCUGAGGCUUGAGAGAAGUUUUCCAAUUACGUCUCAUAAAUAGGAAAGUUUGUAAUAUAAUUUUUCAAUGUUCCACAAAAUUCCCAGAACGAAAGCAGUACUGAAUUGCAUGCGACUGUCCUUUCAUAGAUAGAAAAAGUGACUGCUGUUUAGUGGCUAAGAUGUAUUCAACUCUUUGAGACCCCACGGACUGUAGCCCGCCAGGCUCCUCUGUCCAUGGCAUUUCCCAGGCAAGAACACUGGAGUGGGUUGCCAUUUCUUUCUCUAGGGGAUCUUCCCAACCCAGGGAUGGAACUUACAUCUCCUCCAUUGGCAGGUGGAUUCUUUACCACUGAGCCACCAGGGAAGCUCCGAAAACACGAUGCAAAACUACAGUUCAGUAAAAGCAGUUCUACAAAAGCCAAAACAGAAGCGAGUAAUCGGAAACCCUUGGGUCAUGUGAGGCCUGCCCUUCCUCUAUCACAGACCAGAAUCUAAUUCCAGGACGCCCUCACAGGGAUGAGAGUAGCACUGCCUGUCAUUUUCAAUCCCCCAGAAAUGUGCAGACGAACCAAAACGUGGGACACUCAGGUGCAUUCGAAACAAAUGCCCAGAAAACGUUUGUUGCAGGUAACUAAAGUCAUGUGAUGUUUUUGUAACUAUGAAGAAUUAUUAUUACAGUGUGGGUACCCCCAAAUUUUAAGUCUGCUCUGUUCACAAGACAGCUGCUUCCUGACAAAUAACCUGCG